UGGGGAAUUUUGGACAAUGGGGGAAACCCUGAUCCAGCCAUCCCGCGUGUGCGAUGAAGGCCUUCGGGUUGUAAAGCACUUUUGGCAGGAAAGAAACGUCGCGGGUUAACACCCCGCGAAACUGACGGUACCUGCAGAAUAAGCACCGGCUAACUACGUGCCAGCAGCCGCGGUAAUACGUAGGGUGCAAGCGUUAAUCGGAAUUACUGGGCGUAAAGCGUGCGCAGGCGGUUCGGAAAGAAAGAUGUGAAAUCCCAGAGCUUAACUUUGGAACUGCAUUUUUAACUACCGGGCUAGAGUGUGUCAGAGGGAGGUGGAAUUCCGCGUGUAGCAGUGAAAUGCGUAGAUAUGCGGAGGAACACCGAUGGCGAAGGCAGCCUCCUGGGAUAACACUGACGCUCAUGCACGAAAGCGUGGGGAGCAAACAGGAUUAGAUACCCUGGUAGUCCACGCCCUAAACGAUGUCAACUAGCUGUUGGGGCCUUCGGGCCUUGGUAGCGCAGCUAACGCGUGAAGUUGACCGCCUGGGGAGUACGGUCGCAAG
rnacentral:rRNA from 1 species